rnacentral:rRNA from 1 species
UAACAAGGAUUCCCCUAGUAACGGCGAGUGAAGAGGGAAGAGCCCAAGAUUGAAAGCUGGCGUCUUCGGCGUCCGCAUUGUAAUCUCAAGAAGUGUUUUCCGCUUCGGACCAAGCCUAAGUCCCCUGGAAAGGGGCAUCAUAGAGGGUGAUAAUCCCGUACAUGGCUUGGAGCGCCCGUAGCUUUGUGAUACACUUUCUAAGAGUCGAGUUGUUUGGGAAUGCAGCUCAAAAUGGGUGGUAAAUGCCAUCUAAGGCUAAAUAUUGGGGAGAGACCGAUAGCGAACAAGUACAGUGAUGGAAAGAUGAAAAGAACUUUGAAAAGAGAGUUAAACAGUACGUGAAAUUGCCAAAAGGGAAGGGUAGGAGGUCAGAGAUGCGGCCUAGGAUUCAGCCUUGCUUUUGCUUGGUGUUUUUCCUAGAUUGCAGGCCAACGUCGGUUUUGGGCACUGGAGAAGGGUGGAAGGAACGUGGCACCUCUCGGGGUGUGUUAUAGCCUUCUACUGGAUACAGCGACCGAGACCGAGGACAGCAGCGUACUCGCAAGAGCGGGCCUUCGGGCACCUUUACGCUUAGGGCGUUGGCAUAAU